UUGCAUUUGGUUUAUGCGUAAGUAAUUCUAAUCAAAACUAUAUACAUUGACAGUUUCAAAAUCUUAAAAGAUUUUGUGACCAAGUUUUUUUAUAAUAAUUUGUCUCCUUUUUAAAAUUUACUUUUAUAUUUUUAUUAUACACGUGUUGGUGAAGAAAAUGGGUAUUUAUUUAGAAAAUUGUAGUGCGUUUUAUGUGUUUGCUAUCAGAAAUGCUUACAAAAGUAAUUUUCGUACUUCGUAUAGUAGUAGUAUAUUGGUUAGUUAUUUUGAUAAAAAAAUUCAUAUAGAGUUAAUUUUAGUGUUAUAUUCAAGUGAUCUUAUUAUACAAAGUAAUGUUUAUUUUACACCUGGGGGACAAAAAAUUACCAUAGACAGAACUCCAUAUCAAGCAAAUUAUGGUGAUGUUUGUGGCGCUGUUAUAAUACAUGCGAAAUGGUUGCUGACUAGUGCACAUUUUAACAGAGAAAGAGAUUUCAUAAGGACUGGAAGUAAGUUUCGACUUAAAGCUUCCAAAACCAACGUCAAAUCCCACUUCGUUCACCCGUUGUACGGUCGACGUCAUACAUUCGACUAUGACGUGCAGCUUUUAGAACUAUUUCGAGAGUUACAUUUUGGAUGGAAAGUAGGCUCUAUAAGAAUUAGUCAUGGAGUAUGUGGGAGCGAUGUUUCUGUCAGUGGUUGGGGGUAUUCGAAGGAAAAGUGCUUUACAGCGUGCGUGGUCACGGUGACUGAGGACAAAAGGGGGAUUAUAACGAUAUCCUAAAACAAGUGAAGAUCGAGAUUAUACCGUUAGAGGAGUGUCAAAAAAUUCAGAAUUCCUUCUAUAACAAUACAUUGACAAACACAAUGUUUUGUGCUGGCGCUGAAGACGGAGAUGCUUGUCAAGGAGACAGUGGUGGUGCUGCGGUAUCUUAUGGCCAAUUGAUUGGAAUUUCAAGUUUUGGAUACGGUUGCGGAAGAAAUACACCAGGCGUUUACAUCAAUGUAUCUCAUACAAAUAUACGCUUGUGGAUUCGCAGAUUUACUGGCAUUUACAUCAUAAAUUAAAAUUGAAUGUCAAAGAAAAAAACGGUCCCAUUAAAGUUAUUCAAAAUAUCGCUUCACCGUCCUCUUUACACUAUGUCUUGCUAUACCACAAUUUGUAUUAAAUGUUGAAAACAGCGUGUUAUAAAUUAUCAUGUUAAAUA